CGUGCUUCGAAUUGAAACAGUGCUCGGGCAACGACUGAUGACGUUUCACGAGUCCACGAGCACACGAGCACGCACAAGUACGCGAAUUGAGAAACGGCUUUCGUUUCCCUGAUUUCAAGGAUACACCCGUAUCCUUCACGGCCCAAUGUUUCCAAUGAUUCAUUUCGCAUCGGAUUUCAUUACAGAUGGCGGCGGCAACUUUUACAUUUAAAUGGAGCCAGGAGCAAACUGCUGCAUUCAUUAAAUUGAGGGGGGAGAAGGAUGCGCUUUUCACCGGGGUCAAAUACUCUGCAAGUGUGGCUUGGGGGAUUGCAAGUUUCCAGGGUCAGGAGAGGGAGUAGGUGGGAA